AGUUAAGGCUCAUCAUGGAGGGUUCACUUCUCAAGAUUGGAUCCUAAAACUGGAUACCAUCAAGAUGGGACAUAGCAGGGUCUACCCUGGUACAGGAGGAAACCAUUUCCCAGGCAGGCUUUUUUGGGGACUGACCAUCUGGCUUUAACUCUUCACCUCUUCCUGCCACCAACCUGUGAGGCCUAGUGUGGCUUCUCUGAAGGACCCUGCAGUUGAAAGGAAAGGAAAUCAGAAGUUUUCACAGCCCCACCGUUCCACCUCAGGCUCUUCUCCUCUCUUCUCUAGUCCAGAAACCAGCCCAUAUCCAUAAAACAUCAGUUCUCCUGUCAGAGUCAUCCACAACACAAUAGACUUCCCAGGCCUGGGAAUAAAGACUGCAGUCCCUUCAUCCUCUAAAGCCUUCCUGGGCCAACGGCCAAGAGCCACCCUCAACUGGUCUGAGCCAGAGCUAUCAGCUCCAACUGACUUUCCUGGUGGGAGCUGCUGGGAGCUGUCUCUCUCAGGUCACAGCCAGCUGCUGCCCAGAUUCUAUUCACUCUCACAUUUCACACACCAAACCCAGCAUAGCUAAGCUGAAUCUCAUAGUCCUGCUUUCUCCCAGGAACCUGAAAUCAGGGACUCAGCUGUCAUUAUUUCCAUGAAGGAGAGUGUAUGAAAUGCAUUCAGUCAAUCAUCUGCCACUUAUCAAGCACCUACUCUGUGCCCCUAGCCUGUGUAAUGAGGAGUCACAGCCCAGUGUGAAUAGCUAAUAUCUACAUAAGAUAUAUGUAAUAUCUAUGUAAGAUCUAUGCAAAAGGUAA